rnacentral:snoRNA from 1 species
UUUCGGGUUGAUAACUAGGCAAUGGUUUCAAUCAAAUUCUACUACACGACCUUUGCCCUUUAAGUAUCCGAUAUAUUGAAUUCCUGCGACUGAUCUUACACGUUCUCUGAUAUUCUUUCUGAUGUGAAACGUUUAAUCGACCGCAACACAC